rnacentral:rRNA from 1 species
UGACCGCUGGCGGCGUGCCUCAUACAUGCACGUCGAGCGAACAGACGCGGAGCUUGCUCCUCUGACGUUAGCGGCGGACGGGUGAGUAACACGUGGAUAACCUACCUAUAAGACUGGGAUAACUUCGGGAAACCGGAGCUAAUACCGGAUAAUAUAUUGAACCGCAUGGUUCAAUAGUGAAAGACGGUUUUGCUGUCACUUAUAGAUGGAUCCGCGCCGCAUUAGCUAGUUGGUAAGGUAACGGCUUACCAAGGCAACGAUGCGUAGCCGACCUGAGAGGGUGAUCGGCCACACUGGAACUGAGACACGGUCCAGACUCCUACGGGAGGCAGCAGUAGGGAAUCUUCCGCAAUGGGCGAAAGCCUGACGGAGCAACGCCGCGUGAGUGAUGAAGGUCUUCGGAUCGUAAAACUCUGUUAUUAGGGAAGAACAAAUGUGUAAGUAACUAUGCACGUCUUGACGGUACCUAAUCAGAAAGCCACGGCUAACUACGUG